AAGACUAUACUUUCAGGGAUCAUUUCUAUAGUUUCUAACUUGGAAGUGCAUUUCUAAAGUGAUGAGUCUCCCCACCCACGAUGAAGAGCUUUGAUACUCUUUUCUGAGCGUGAAUCGGGUGUAGAGUAAUGAUUUACUUCAUAAGCUCUGCAUCAUUGAUGAACGUUCCUCACUGUAUUAUAUGGUGAGGAGGAAAGGGGUAUGAUCAGAGUGGU